CUCUUUCACCUCCUAACCAUAUAAUGAGAACAGGCUGCGACUUAAUUUUACUAUAAUAUUAGACAUCUCUUUCCAUCUAUUUUUCUUCUCCGACAUUCGAUGAGGUUGAGAUCCUCAAGUGCACAGAUAUGCUACCCUUCAUGUACUGUAUCCUUUUGAAAUGAGAUCUAUCCAAUUGACUAACACGUGUUCUCUAAAUUAUAACUAUUAAUUAGUUUCCAAGGUUUUAGCAGACAUGUGUCAAAGAUCAAAACCAACAAAAAAUAUCUGCAAUAGGAUAGAUAUAUUUGACCAUGCCACUUAUGUUGCAUGUAACCUUCUCCUCCCCCUAUC
rnacentral:lncRNA from 1 species